rnacentral:rRNA from 1 species
CUGAUGGAGGUCCGUAGCGAUUCUGACGUGCAAAUCGAUCGUCGGAGCUGGGUAUAGGGGCGAAAGACUAAUCGAACCAUCUAGUAGCUGGUUCCCUCCGAAGUUUCCCUCAGGAUAGCUGGCGCUCGUUGAACCGAGUCCCAUCCGGUAAAGCGAAUGAUUAGAGGCCUUGGGGUCGAAACGACCUCAACCUAUUCUCAAACUUUAAAUGGGUGGGAACCCGCGGCUUGUUUGAAUCGUGAAGCCGCGGACCACGGAUCGGAGUGCCCAGUGGGCCACUUUUGGUAAGCAGAACUGGCGCUGUGGGAUGAACCAAACGCGGGGUUAAGGCGCCCGAAUCGACGCUCAUUCGAAACCAUGAAAGGUGUUGGUUGCUUAAGACAGCAGGACGGUGGCCAUGGAAGUCGGAAUCCGCUAAGGAGUGUGUAACAACUCACCUGCCGAAGCAACUAGCCCUGAAAAUGGAUGGCGCUGAAGCGUCGUGCCUAUACCCCGCCGCCGGUGGCAGAGGGCGAGUCCUCGUGGCUCGCCGCGAAGCCCCGGUGAGUAGGAGGGUCGCGGCGGUGAGCGCAGAAGGGUCUGGGCGCGAGCCUGCCUGGAGCCGCCGUCGGUGCAGAUCUUGGUGGUAGUAGCAAAUACUCCAGCGAGGCCCUGGAGGACUGAUGUGGAGAAGGGUUCCGUGUGAACAGCCGUUGCACACGGGUCAGUCGAUCCUAAGCCCUAGGAGAAAUCCGAUGUUGAUGGUCGCGGGAUGUAACUAAGAGAGGCCUCGGCUUCUUCGAACACACCACCCCGUCCGUCGGGCGAAAGGGAAUCCGGUUCCUAUUCCGGAACCCGGUUGCGGAACCGCACUCACGAUCCUCGUAUUGACACGGUAACGUGAAAGACCCCAGAGAUGCCGUCUGGAGCCCCGGGAAGAGUUUUCUUUUCUGCCUGAGCGUUCGGGUUCCAUGGAAUCCUCUCGCAGGGAGAUAUGGAAUGGAACGCGAAGAGCACCGCAGUUGCUGCGGUGUCCGGGGAGUCCCGUCGGUCCUUGAAAAUCUGGGUGAGGGUCACGUGGAGGCGUCGCACCGGCUCGUACCCAUAUCCGCAGCAGUCUCCAAGUCAAGA